rnacentral:rRNA from 1 species
GAUGAACGCUGGCGGCGUGCCUAACACAUGCAAGUCGAACGGAAAGGCCCUGCUCUUGUGGGGUGCUCGAGUGGCGCACGGGUGAGUAACACGUGAGUAACCUGCCCUUGACUUUGGGAUAACAUCAGGAAACAGGGGAUCAUACCGGAUAGGAGCUCCUGCUGCAUGGUGGGGGUUGGAAAGAGUCGGCGGUUGGGGAUGGACUCGCGGCUUAUGAGCUUGUUGGGGGGGUAGUGGUUUACCAAGGCUUUGACGGGUAGCCUGCCUGAGAGGGUGACCAGCCACCGUGCGCCUGAGAUACGCCCCAGACGCCUACGGGCGGCAGAAGUGGGAAAUAUUGCACAAUGGCCGGAAGCCUGAGGCAGCAACGCUGCGUGCGGAAUGACGGCCUUUUGGUUGUAAACCGCUGUGGAAUGUGACGAAGCCUGCGUGACGGUAAUGGGUAAAGAAGCACCGGCUAACUACGUG